rnacentral:rRNA from 1 species
UGAUAUACGCUCGUCUCAAAGGUUAAGCCAUGCAUGUCUAAGUACAAGCUUCCUAGAAAGUGAAACCGCAUAAGGCUCAGUAUAACAGCUAUAAUUUACAAGAUCCUCAUCCAAACAGUUACUUGGAUAACUGUGGAAAAGCCAGAGCUAAUACAUGCAUUAUGCCGGGACUGUUGGCCUCCGGGUCGGCGGAACUGGUGCACUUAUUAGUUAAACCAAUCGCCUCCGGGCGCUUUGAGUUGAAAUCUGGAUAAGGAUGCCGAUCGUACGGUCGCUUUGCGACUGACGACAGAUCUUUCAAAUGUCUGCCCUAUCAACUAUUGAUGGUAGUGUAGAGGACUACCAUGGUUGCGACGGGUAACGGGGAAUCAGGGUUCGAUUCCGGAGAGGGAGCCUGAGAAAUGGCUACCACAUCCAAGGAAGGCAGCAGGCGCGUAAAUUACCCAAUCCCGGCACGGGGAGGUAGUGACGAGAAAUAACAAUAUGGACCUCUCUAACGAUGGUCCAUAAUUGGAAUGAGUUGAGCAUAAAUCCUUUUGCAAGGAUCAAGUGGAGGGCAAGUCUGGUGCCAGCAGCCGCGGUAAUUCCAGCUCCACUAGCGUAUAUUA